AUUGAACGCUGGCGGCAGGCCUAACACAUGCAAGUCGAACGAUAACAGGAAGAAGCUUGCUUCUUUGCUGAAGCGUGGCGCGCGGGUGAGUCAUGUCUGGGAACCUGCUUGAUGGCGGGGGUUACUUACUGGAAACGGUGCCUAUUCCCGCAUAAAUUCGCAAGCCCAAAAAUGAGGACUUUAGGGCCGUUUUCCAUUGGAUUUGCCCAGAUGGGAUUAGCUAGUAGGUAGGGUAACGGCUCACCUAGGCGACGAUCCGUAGCUGGUAUGAGAGGUUGAUCAGCCACACUGGAACUGAGACACGGUCCAGACUCCUACGGGAGGCAGCAGUGGGGAAUAUUGCGCAAUGGGCGCAAGCCUGAUGGAGCCAUGCCGCGUGUAUGAAGAAGGCCUUCGGAUUGUAAAGCACUGUCAGCGGGGAGGAAGGAAGUAAAGUGAAUACAUGUACGCAUUGACGUUACCCGAAGAAGAAGCACCGGCUAACUCCGUG
rnacentral:rRNA from 1 species